GGUGAGAUGGCCGAGCGGUCUAAGGCGCCAGACUAAGGACUAGAGCAUCUUCUGCUCAACACUGACUGUUCACUACGGUUAUCUGGUCCUCCGGGGCGCGAGUUCGAAUCUCGCUCUCAUCA